AUGAACGCUAGCUACAGGCUUAACACAUGCAAGUCGAGGGGCAGCAUGGUCUUAGCUUGCUAAGGCCGAUGGCGACCGGCGCACGGGUGAGUAACACGUAUCCAACCUGCCGUCUACUCUUGGACAGCCUUCUGAAAGGAAGAUUAAUACAAGAUGGCAUCAUGAGUCCGCAUGUUCACAUGAUUAAAGGUAUUCCGGUAGACGAUGGGGAUGCGUUCCAUUAGAUAGUAGGCGGGGUAACGGCCCACCUAGUCUUCGAUGGAUAGGGGUUCUGAGAGGAAGGUCCCCCACAUUGGAACUGAGACACGGUCCAAACUCCUACGGGAGGCAGCAGUGAGGAAUAUUGGUCAAUGGGCGAGAGCCUGAACCAGCCAAGUAGCGUGAAGGAUGACUGCCCUAUGGGUUGUAAACUUCUUUUAUAAAGGAAUAAAGUCGGGUAUGGAUACCCGUUUGCAUGUACUUUAUGAAUAAGGAUCGGCUAACUCCGUGCCAGCAGCCGCGGUAAUACGGAGGAUCCGAGCGUUAUCCGGAUUUAUUGGGUUUAAAGGGAGCGUAGAUGGAUGUUUAAGUCAGUUGUGAAAGUUUGCGGCUCAACCGUAAAAUUGCAGUUGAUACUGGAUAUCUUGAGUGCAGUUGAGGCAGGCGGAAUUCGUGGUGUAGCGGUGAAAUGCUUAGAUAUCACGAAGAACUCCGAUUGCGAAGGCAGCCUGCUAAGCUGCAACUGACAUUGAGGCUCGAAAGUGUGGGUAUCAAACAGGAUUAGAUACCCUGGUAGUCCACACGGUAAACGAUGAAUACUCGCUGUUUGCGAUAUACAGCAAGCGGCCAAGCGAAAGCGUUAAGUAUUCCACCUGGGGAGUACGCCGGCAACGGUGAAACUCAAAGGAAUUGACGGGGGCCCGCACAAGCGGAGGAACAUGUGGUUUAAUUCGAUGAUACGCGAGGAACCUUACCCGGGCUUGAAAGUUAGCGACGAUUCUUGAAAGAGGAUUUCCCUUCGGGGCGCGAAACUAGGUGCUGCAUGGUUGUCGUCAGCUCGUGCCGUGAGGUGUCGGCUUAAGUGCCAUAACGAGCGCAACCCUUGUUGUCAGUUACUAACAGGUUCCGCUGAGGACUCUGACAAGACUGCCAUCGUAAGAUGUGAGGAAGGUGGGGAUGACGUCAAAUCAGCACGGCCCUUACGUCCGGGGCUACACACGUGUUACAAUGGGGGGUACAGAGGGCCGCUACCACGCGAGUGGAUGCCAAUCCCCAAAACCUCUCUCAGUUCGGACUGGAGUCUGCAACCCGACUCCACGAAGCUGGAUUCGCUAGUAAUCGCGCAUCAGCCACGGCGCGGUGAAUACGUUCCCGGGCCUUGUACACACCGCCCGUCAAGCCAUGGGAGCCGGGGGUACCUGAAGUGCGUAACCGCGAGGAGCGCCCUAGGGUAAAACUGGUGACUGGGGCU
rnacentral:rRNA from 1 species